rnacentral:rRNA from 1 species
GUGUCAGCCGCCGCGGUAAAACCAGCACCUCAAGUGGUCAGGAGGAUUAUUGGGCCUAAAGCAUCCGUAGCCUGCUUUGUAAGUUUCCGGUUAAAUCCAUUAGCUCAACUGAUGGGCCGCCGGAAAAACUGCAAAGCUAGGGAGUGGGAGAGGUAGACGGUACUCGGUAGGAAGGGGUAAAAUCCUUUGAUCUAUUGAUGACCACCAGUGGCGAAGGCGGUCUACCAGAACACGUUCGACGGUGAGGGAUGAAAGCUGGGGGAGCAAACCGGAUUAGAUACCCGGGUAGUCCCAGCUGUAAACGAUGCAGACUCGGUGAUGCCCUGGCUUGUGGCCAGUGCAGUGCCGCAGGGAAGCCGUUAAGUUUGCCGCCUGGGAAGUACGUACGCAAGUAUGAAACUUAAAGGAAUUGGCGGGGGAGCACCACAAGGGGUGAAGCCUGCGGUUCAAUUGGAGUCAACGCCAGAAAUCUUACCCGAAGAGACAGCAGAAUGAAGGUCAAGCUGGAGACUUUACCAGACAAGCUGAGAAGUGGUGCAUGGCCGUCGCCAGCUCGUGCCGUGAGAUGUCCUGUUAAGUCAGGUAACGAGCGAGAUCCCUGCCUCUAGUUGCCACCAUUACUCUCAGGAGUAGUGGGGCGAAUUAGCGGGACCGCCGCAGUUAAUGCGGAGGAAGGAAGGGGCCACGGCAGGUCAGUAUGCCCUGAAACUUUGGGGCCACACGCGGGCUGCAAUGAUAGUGACAAUGAGUUCCUAAACCGAAAGGUGGAGGCAAUCUUCAAACGCUAUCACAGUUAUGAUUGAGGGCUGCAACUCGCCCUCAUGAAUAUGGAAUCCCUAGUAACUGCGUGUCAUUACCGCGCGGUGAAUACGUCCCUGCUCCUUGCACACACUGCCCGUC